AUGAACGCUAGCGGGAGGCCUAACACAUGCAAGCCGAGCGGUAUUUGUUCUUCGGAACAGAGAGAGCGGCGCACGGGUGCGGAACACGUGUGCAACCUGCCUUUAUCUGGGGGAUAGCCUUUCGAAAGGAAGAUUAAUACCCCAUAAUAUAUUGAGUGGCAUCAUUUGAUAUUGAAAACUCCGGUGGAUAGAGAUGGGCACGCGCAAGAUUAGAUAGUUGGUGAGGUAACGGCUCACCAAGUCAAUGAUCUUUAGGGGGCCUGAGAGGGUGAUCCCCCACACUGGUACUGAGACACGGACCAGACUCCUACGGGAGGCAGCAGUGAGGAAUAUUGGACAAUGGGUUAGCGCCUGAUCCAGCCAUCCCGCGUGAAGGACGACGGCCCUAUGGGUUGUAAACUUCUUUUGUAUAGGGAUAAACCUACUCUCGUGAGAGUAGCUGAAGGUACUAUACGAAUAAGCACCGGCUAACUCCGUG
rnacentral:rRNA from 1 species